rnacentral:lncRNA from 1 species
CGUAGCACUUGGUCUUGCGACCUCAGCCGACGCCUCCGUCGGCGCGGAUGGGACGUACUCGCUAGCCUCAGGUGGCCACGGCUCUGGGAAUGGCACCACCCCUACCCAGGUCUCCUGCUGUCGUCACCCUGCGUGGCCCUCCUGCUGUUCCCUGGGGCUCUGCAGCAGGUGUCCCUUCAGCAGACUCUGCCUGGUGCCAGAGAACGCCUUCCAUUCCUGCCAGACCCCGAUGGCUUCUGCCACACACGGGGCCAGCUCAGGAGGACACAGGGUCAGGAGCCAGGUGGAGGCGCGGUGUCACGGAGGGCACACCCUGGCCUCUUUUAGGUGCCCUGUCCAGCCAUGGCCUGGAAAGUCCUGACACAGUUAAUUUUGGAAACUCCAUCCUUCUGUACAGUAGUUGGCUUAAAACAAAUUCAAGCUCAUGGAUCCUGAGAGAUGGCACUGUUGGGAGUGGUCCAGGAAAGAUUUCCUCACUCAAAAGGGAGUGAAAGAGGCUGUCCCUGCUUCCUGCUGAACGCUAUCAGGUGAUGUGAAGCCUUCUUGAGACCGUGAGGAGCAUCCUGAUGGUGGGGACAGCAGCAUGGAAAGAUGGGGAGAGCCUGGGUCCUUACUGACUCCAUCAGACCCUUAACCCAUGUCAUUCCCCAGCCCAGAUGUUGUUAGGAGAGAUAAUAAAUGUCUCUAUUUCAACGAGGUGAGUUGGGUUUUCUGUUUCAAUAGGAUCAGCAUCUUUAUCUUACGAAAACAAGACCACCAGAGCUCUAUGAAGAUAACAGAAAAGCAAACAGCCUGGGCAAAGUUGCUGUGCAACAAACCAGCUCCAGUGUAGGUGCUCGACUGGGCCAGGUCCCCCCACACUGGGAGCCUGGGUUUGGCAGGAAGGCUUCUUCUGCCCAGAUGGUUGGGACUGCUCUUCAGGCACCUGCAUCCUUCCAUGAGGUACAAACCUGAGCUCCCUCCUCUGGGUUUUAGGGACACACACAUAUCCUUGUGUCUGCAGGGCCUUGUUUUGGGGACAGGCUGGCCUCCUCUGCCUGAGGCACUCACUCUCGAGAGGGUCACUGGGCAUCCUGCACAGCCUUCAGGCUCUGCUGGGAAGUCCCAGAAGACUCAGUGCCAGCAAGUUGCAAGGCCAGGCCAGAUCCCAGGUAGAGGGAAGCAAGUUUGCUCCCAGAUGGAAGGAGGCCAUGCCAGACAGAAAGGAGGGCCAGGUGGGCUUGUUUCCAAGAACAAUUCACUGGAGAGCAGCUUAACCGGCUCCCGCAGGGGUGUCCCACCAGGCAGCAGUAGCACUAGGGUGACACACAUGGACAAGGCCCCACCGUGAGCAGCUGAACGAGGAUGGGCUGUGCUGAUGUUCAUCAGGAGAGGGAGGCCACUGUCACGGUCUACAGGGCUACCCAAAGAUGGCUGAAGAGCUUCCUUCGGUGGGACAGGGAGGGAGGCAGGCCCGG